rnacentral:rRNA from 1 species
GCGUGACGGGGGCAGUCUGAGUGCCAUCCUAACGGAUGGCUUUUCUCGAGUUUUAAUCGCUCGGGGAAUAAGUGGUGGGUAAAACUCGUGCCAGCCGCCGCGGUAAUACGAGUAGCACAAGUGGUAUCCACGAAUAUUGAGCUUAAAGCGUUCGUAGCCGGCUCGGCCAGUUCCUUGUGAAAUCUGUCGACUCAAUCGACAGGCUUGCAGGGAAUACUACCGGGCUCGGGAGUGGGGGAGGCAAGAGGUACUCUAGGGGGAGCGGUAAAAUGCUUUAAUCCUUAGAGGACCCACAGUGGCGAAGGCGUCUUGCCAAAACACGUCCGACGGUGAGGGACGAAGGCUAGGGGAGCGAACGGGAUUAGAUACCCCGGUAGUCCUAGCAGUAAAUGAUGCAGACUUGGCGUUGCAUUAACCACGAGUUAAUGCAGUGCCGUAGGGAAACCGUUUAGUCUGCCGC